GAGCGGAAAGGCCCUUCGGGGUACUCGAGCGGCGAACGGGUGAGUAACACGUGAGCAAUCUGCCCCUAGCUUCGGGAUAGCUCCGGGAAACCGGAAUUAAUACCGGAUAUGACCAUGGCUGACAUCAGCCAUUGUGGAAAGUUUUUCGGCUAGGGAUGAGCUCGCGGCCUAUCAGCUAGUUGGUGGGGUAACGGCCUACCAAGGCGACGACGGGUAGCCGGCCUGAGAGGGCGACCGGCCACACUGGGACUGAGACACGGCCCAGACUCCUACGGGAGGCAGCAGUGGGGAAUAUUGCGCAAUGGGCGAAAGCCUGACGCAGCGACGCCGCGUGGGGGAUGAAGGCCUUCGGGUUGUAAACCCCUUUCAGCAGGGACGAAGCGAAAGUGACGGUACCUGCAGAAGAAGCCCCGGCUAACUUCGUG
rnacentral:rRNA from 1 species